AGGACGGGCCUUUCAGGCAUCCUCUCCUAAAAACUUUCACGGGCCGGUCAUCUGAUCGGCCCUUUUUUUUGCCUGCG
rnacentral:sRNA from 1 species